rnacentral:lncRNA from 1 species
UGAUUCCAGAACGAGUAUGGUCCAGAAAUGAGAUUUAAUAUCUUGGAAAAACUUCUGCAAAUUGCAGGAGUGUCAAGUCAGUCAAAAAUGGAACUUAGUAAAUAAGCAAAACUGCAUCAGCUGCCAUGAACUGAUAUUCUUUUCUUUUUUUUUCUAGGGCAAAAUAUGUUAUCAUCAAAUCUUGAAAAUUACCUCAAAGUAAGACUAAGCAGAGGGGUGCAAAUUUGUAGCUUGCUAAAAGUUUUUAUUUUCUCUAGUUCUUUUGUUGAGUAGUUGCCUUGAAACCAGAGAAGCUCCACUGGCAUAAAACAUUUGUGGAUUAAGAAUUAUCUUUCCUUCUGCCUAUUUCAAUUCAUGUCAUAGCCCAGUAUGUUGCAGGUGCAGGGAGCUUCACACCAAAGAGAAACAUGAAACAGAAACGUAACUUGCUAUAAUGUAGAUGAAAAAAAAAAGUGUAAUAGCUAGACUCCCUCUGUACUAAACCAUAUCUAUUCUGAAACAACUUACAUGAGGAAUCCUGAAACCCAGAAUAAAUUAUGUUAAUUUUGCUACCUGUAAACGUAACUGGUCGUAUGUACUGAAUAAUCCAUUUACUGUGUUCUGCAGGCAAGGAAUAUAAGGAGAAAUAUUUGUGUGUCCAUACAUGCCCAUGCAUACAUAAAGUCAUUUUUAUGUAAAUUUUCCAUUUAAAAAAUGAUUUAAAUUACCAUCAUAAUCAUGAGUUAAUCCUAUGCAGUUUGACUUUAUUUGAAUAAAUGCUUCUUUGAAAACAUUAAUAUGGCUUGUAAUCAUUAGUUAUAUUUUUGUUAAUCAUAAAUAUACUAAAUACGUAUUAAUUAGAACUGUUAUGUUGCAUUUAUACAAAACCAUUAAGACUAUGUACAUUUGAAAACGGAAAUUAACUGCUUUCUAAUUUUGUGCAGGUCUCACUGGACAAAAGAAACCCUGCAUAUGUUAUAUAAGAGACCUCACUGUAAACUUCUCAAUCUUUUCAAGAUGAAGGAGGCUACUGGAGUGUACCCAGUAGAACAGCAAGAUCUCAAGGACUUCCAGAGAAGAUGUAUAAACACACGUCUGACUACACUGAAGCAGAGAAUGAGUAUAUUCAGCCAACUUCCGUGUUUCCAACAGCAGAUAUGUGUUGCAGGGAUGAGCAUCUGAGGAGCACAAGCUGGAAUUACUUUCAAAAUUCAUCCAAAAGCUUGCCAGUAGUAGAGCAAAGAUACCUAACUAUCCUUGUGUAACAUUAAAUCCAGAGAUGAUGCUAAUACAGAAGAGCAAAGCCUCUUUUUUCUAAGACCGCAUCUUAUUUAGAAGUCAGUGGGCAUGAUGGGCUGUGAUGAACUGUGGUAGUAAUUCCAUUAUUACAGUAUGCAUGUGGGAACAUGUGCUGGAUGCUGUUUCUGUUCAAAACUAUCAGGUCAGCAGUGCAGCGUGGUACGCCUAAUUGUACCAGGUCUUGGAUACACUUUGCGUUUUUAUUUCAGUAAUACGCAUUCUGAGAAACAGAUGAAACAA